rnacentral:rRNA from 1 species
UACGUAGGGACCGAGCGUUGUCCGGAAUCAUUGGGCGUAAAGAGCGUGUAGGCGGCCACUUAAGUCCUGCGUGAAAUCUUGCGGCUCAACCGCAAGCGGUCGUGGGAAACUGGGUGGCUAGAGUGCUGGAGAGGAGAGUGGAAUUCCUGGUGUAGCGGUGGAAUGCGCAGAUAUCAGGAAGAACACCCGUGGCGAAGGCGGCUCUCUGGAACGCAACUGACGCUGAGACGCGAAAGCGUGGGGAGCAAACAGG